GUGAAACCAUUUCUACAGGUGUGAAACCAUUUCUACAGGUGUGAAACCAUUUCUACACGUGUGAAACCAUUUCUACACGUGUGAAACCAUUUCUACAGGUGUGAAACCAUUUCUACAGGUGUGAAA